rnacentral:rRNA from 1 species
UGCGUAGGCGGACUAAUAAGUCAGUGGUGAAAUCUCUCGGCUCAACCGGGAAACUGCCAUUGAUACUGUUAGUCUUGAGGUCGGUUGAGGUAGGCGGAAUGUGUAAUGUAGCGGUGAAAUGCUUAGAUAUUACACAGAACACCAAUUGCGUAGGCAGCUUACUAGACCGACACUGACGCUGAGGCACGAAAGCGUGGGUAGCGAACAGGAUUAGAUACCCUGGUAGUC